GACAAUCACUCUCAGAUGUGAGAUUCAGGGAGGUGAAGGAAAGGUGUGGAAAUAUGAAUGGACAGCACCCAACACAAACAGCCCUCCAACAUCCAGUGAAUACAGGAUCAGCAGAGUUUCAGUGUCCCACAGUGGAGACUACAGAUGUCGGGGUAGCAGUGACUAUCUCUUAACAGGAUGGAGUGAUGCCUUCAGACUGACAGUUUCAUAUAAACCAAAGGCCAAACUGAGAGCUGAUAACACAGCUGUUCCAGUAGGGGGCAGAGUGAUCCUGACCUGCUCUGUGAACCCAUCAUCAUCAUCUGGAUGGAAAUACUACUGGUACAGAGAUGAGAAAUCCUCUGAAGCCCUGACCACACAAGAUGCAGUUUUCCAUUCAAAUGGACAAAUCAGUGUCUCACAGGAAGGACUCUACAGGUGCAGAGGAGGAAGAGGAAACCCAGUUUACUACACAGAGGACAGCCAGUCAGUCAGGAUUGGGAAAACUGAUAAACCCCGUCCUGUCCUCACUGUGUCUCCAUCAUGGCUGAGUCCUGGAGCCUC